rnacentral:rRNA from 1 species
GUUCCUACGGGAGGCAGCAGUGGGGAAUAUUGCACAAUGGGCGAAAGCCUGAUGCAGCAACGCCGCGUGAAGGAAGAAGGGUUUCGGCUCGUAAACUUCUAUCAACAGGGACGGAAGAAAUGACGGUACCUGAAUAAGAAGCCCCGGCUAACUACGUGCCAGCAGCCGCGGUAAUACGUAGGGGGCACGCGUUAUCCGGAAUUACUGGGUGUAAAGGUAGAGUAGGCGGCAUUGUAAGCCAGAUGU